GAUAAAGAAAGGGUCAAACCUCUGUAAAUAGGACUACAGCCUACUGCCUAUGCUCAGCCACUUUACC
rnacentral:tRNA from 1 species